rnacentral:tRNA from 1 species
UGUUCUGUGGCCUAGUUGGUUCAAGCGUCACACUAGCGAUAUGGAGUCGUGGGUUCGAAGCCCACCAAACAA